AGUGAACGCUGGCGGUAGGCCUAACACAUGCAAGUCGAACGGCAGCACAGUAAGAGCUUGCUCUUACGGGUGGCGAGUGGCGGACGGGUGAGGAAUACAUCGGAAUCUACUUUUUCGUGGGGGAUAACGUAGGGAAACUUACUCUAAUACCGCAUACGACCUACGGGUGAAAGCAGGGGAUCUUCGGACCUUGCGCGAUUGAAUGGGCCGAUGUCGGAUUAGCUAGUUGGCGGGGUAAAGGCCCACCAAGUCGACGAUCCGUAGCUGGUCUGAGAGGAUGAUCAGCCGCACUGGAACUGAGACACGGUCCAGACUCCUACGGGAGGCAGCAGUGGGGAAUAUUGGACAAUGGGCGCAAGCCUGAUCCAGCCAUACCGCGUGGGUGAAGAAGGCCUUCGGGUUGUAAAGCCCUUUUGUUGGGAAAGAAAAGCAGCAGGUUAAUACCCCGCUGUUCUGACGGUAACCAAAGAAUAAGCACCGGCUAACUUCGUG
rnacentral:rRNA from 1 species